UCCGGUUUGUCACCGGCAGUCUCCUUAGAGUUCCCGCCAUUACGCGCUGGCAACUAAGGACAAGGGUUGCGCUCGUUACGGGACUUAACCCAACAUCUCACGACACGAGCUGACGACAGCCAUGCAGCACCUGUGCGGGCUCCCGAAGGAGGACCGGCUUUCACCGGCUUCACCCCGCAUGUCAAGCCCUGGUAAGGUUCUUCGCGUCGCGUCGAAUUAAGCCACAUGCUCCGCCGCUUGUGCGGGCCCCCGUCAAUUCCUUUGAGUUUCAUUCUUGCGAACGUACUCCCCAGGUGGCAUGCUUACUGCGUUAACUGCGACACCGCCCCCGAAGGGACAACAUCUAGCAUGCAUCGUUUACGGCGUGGACUAC
rnacentral:misc_RNA from 1 species